GGUUGCGAUCAUACCAGCACUAAUGCACCGGAUCCCAUCAGAACUCCGCAGUUAAGCGUGCUUGGGCGAGAGUAGUACUAGGAUGGUGACCCCCUGGGAAGUCCUCGUGUUGCAACCC
rnacentral:rRNA from 1 species